UGGGGAAUAUUGCACAAUGGACGAAAGUCUGAUGCAGCAACGCCGCGUGGAGGAUGAAGGCCUUCGGGUUGUAAACUCCUUUUGCAGGGGAAGAUAAUGACGGUACCCUGCGAAUAAGCCACGGCUAACUCUGUGCCAGCAGCCGCGGUAAGACAGAGGUGGCGAGCGUUGUUCGGAAUUACUGGGCUUAAAGGGCGCGUAGGCGGUGGCGCAAGUCUGGGGUGGAAGUUCACAGCUCAACUGUGGAAUUGCCUUGGAAACUGCGUUACUUGAGUCGGACAGGGGAAGGCGGAAUUCCUGGUGUAGCGGUGAAAUGCGUAGAUAUCAGGAGGAAGGCCUGUGGUGAAGACGGCCUUCUGGGUCUUGACUGACGCUGAGGCGCGAAAGCGUGGGGAGCAAACA
rnacentral:rRNA from 1 species